rnacentral:rRNA from 1 species
AAUAUUGGACAAUGGGGGCAACCCUGAUCCAGCCAUGCCGCUUGUGUGAAGAAGGUCUUCGUAUUGUAAAUCACGUUAAGUUGGGAGGAAGGGCUUUAGGCUAAUACCCUGAAGUUUUGACGUUACCAACAUAAUAUACACCGGCUAACUCUGUGCCCGCAUCCGAGGUAAUACAGCGGGUGCAAGCGUUAAUCGGAAUUACUGGGCGUAAAGCGCGCGUAGGUGGUUCAGUAAGAUGGGUGUGAAAUCCCCGGGCUUAACCUGGGAACUGCUUUCAUAACUGCUGAGCUAGAGUACGGUAGAGGGUAGUGGAAUUUCCUGUGUAGCGGUGAAAUGCGUAGAUAUAGGAAGGAACACCAGUGGCGAAGGCGACUACCUGGACUGAUACUGACACUGAGGUGCGAAAGCGUGGGGAGCAAACA